rnacentral:rRNA from 1 species
GCAGCNACGCCGCGNUGUGGGAGGACGCCCCUAGGGGUGUAAACCACUGUUGCCCGGGACGAAUCCUGGAUUAGUUCCAGGUUGACGGUACCGGGUGAGGAAGCACCGGCUAACUCCGUGCCAGCAGCCGCGGUAAUACGGAGGGUGCGAGCGUUGUCCGGAAUCACUGGGCGUAAAGGGCGCGUAGGCGGCAAGCCAAGCGUGCGGUGAAAGUCCGGGGCUCAACCCCGGAUCUGCCGUGCGGACUGGUUUGCUCGAGCACUGUAGAGGCGAGUGGAAUUCCGGGUGUAGCGGUGGAAUGCGUANAGAUCCGGAAGAACACCGGUGGCGAAGGCGGCUCGCUGGGCAGUGGCUGACGCUGAGGCGCGACAGCGUGGGGAGCAAACAGGAUUAGAUACCCUGGUAGUCCACGCCGUAAACGAUGGGCACUAGGUGCCCGGGGGAGCGACCCUCCGGGUGCCGUCGCUAACGCAUUAAGUGCCCCGCCUGGGGAGUACGGCCGCAAGGCUG